rnacentral:lncRNA from 1 species
AAAAAUGAUUCUCCUGAUGGCUGGGGACACCCACCUAGAAGUGGUACAGGAGCGACGGUUACUUACUAGCUGGUCGGGUGCAGAAAACACGUGGGUUCUCCGUGGCCCACCUUGACACAGCAGCCGCUGCAAACAUCGUCAGACCCUGAUUGGCUCUGAACAAUACAUGUGUGCUGGUUGGCGGCACACCUGUGGAGCACGGCUUGGCUAAGGCAUCCCUGCGACUUCCGGCAGGGAUCACGUGAUAUCCGGCGGGUAUUCUAGCACGUGACAUCCGGCGAAUGUGAAGGUGGUGCAGCUCCUGAAUUCCCAGGUCAACUGUCAAGUUAACCUAGUGCACUCAGUAACUUCUAAGUCACUUUCAGUGACCAUGCACCUGGUUAUUCCACGUGUGGAGACAUACAGGUGAUUCUGAGUCUUUAAAUCCAUCCAAUCAAUUUUUUACUCUGGAAAGUAAUUUCUCCAAAGUUUUUAUAAUUAUAAGUCACUCAAUCAAUCACCUGGUGCUUGUUCAAAACUCCAAGAGGACGUUCGGUUUUCAAGGAGUUAAGUGAAGACAUGCCAAGGAAAGGUCCUCCUGGAAUACUCAGAACCUGAGACCUGAAGACCUGACCCCCAACCGGAGCUCUACAUCCCAGAGUCCUCAUGGCUGGGGAAUCUGUAACACUCAAGUCACCUGCAAAGAAACCCCUCUUCUCCCAAAGGAGUCUGCCAUGUCCUCCAACACAGCUGUCUCCAGGGACUCCUCCUCCGUGAAGCUGCACUCUGCCCUGAAACCGGAGGAGCCCAGGACCACCCUUGGCGAUGCCUUGAACUUCUCCCUGGAUAACUUGACCAGAGGUGGCAAGGUCAAGCAACAAGUGUUCUCACCCGCCAGGCUGCUCAGCUCCUCUUGCUCCUUGGAGAAGACAUUGCGGUGCAGCUGCGCCUUCCACGGAGUCCCCACUCCCACCGUGCAGUGGUGGAUGGGAGGUGCCCCUGUGGAUGUGAACCCCGUGGGCAACAUCCUCCAGGUGACUUUCACCACGCUUGCCCCGUGGGCCAACAGCACCAUCCGCCUGGUGGGGGAGCCAGAAGUAGUCACCAGACUUCACUGUGAGGGCAAGAACCAGUAUGGAACCCACACUUCCGGUGUCUUCCUGAUACCAGAUCAGAACUCCAUUUCCGGUGUGUUCCUGAAAGGGCUGAUCCAGGGCCUGGUGUACGGGGCCGUCGCGGCCGCCUUGCUGCUCCUCUUCCUCGUCCUCCUGGGAAUGAAGCUGUUUAAGUGGUGGGAAGAAAGGCAGAUUCUCAAGGCCAAAGCAGCCCAGACCCUCAAGAAACCAGAGCCGCAGGAGGAGCCAGCGGGGCCGGAGAAUCUGAAGCUGCAGCCCAGCGGGCAGGAGAUAGAGGGCCCUGGACAGCGAGGGAAGGGUGCAGGCACGUGACCACCACAUGGCUUGCAGUGUGCGUGGCUUGCAUGAAGCGUGCGUGGCUUGCAGCCUGGGUCCAUCAGACUCGUGGGGACCGCACCACUGCUGACUCUGGAUGUGGAGAGCCACCUGCCUCUCACCGCUUGCUCGCCAAGCUGCCCUCCCUGGAUGCCCACAGACCCCGCCCUGGGCUGGGGCACAAGACGGAGCCAGGCCGAGGUCCUGGACAUGGGGACUCUGGGUUGUCACUUCCUGCAUGGCAUUGGGGGAGGAGGGUUUGGCCCGGGCAGUGCCAGGCUGACAACAGGGAGCCAGAUGGGCCACCCCUUGUGUGUGGCAAGGCUGCCACAUGUAAGUGAAUCGAGCAGUAUUUAUCUUUCCAUAUAUGCUUAUUCCAUGUCACAUAGCGGCCUCCAGGUCCACCCAUGUUGCCACACACAGCAAGAUCCCUUCCUGUUUAAGGCUGUGUAGUAUUCCCCUAUGUGUGUGCAAAUGUCCCUCUGUCCUCCCCUCCCUCCCCACAUUCAUUCAGUCCUUUAGCUCCCAUUUCGCCGCAGCCCAGGUUCCACACUCCACACUCGGCACACUGAGGAUGCAGAGCUGAGACGGGCCAAUUCCUGUCUAAACUAGGACACGUUUAUCCAGGGGGGCGGGGUGGGGCCGCUGGCCCCCGCCCCCGUAGGAGGCACAGCCUGCAUGACCCUGCCGGGACCAAGCGCGUUCAUCCACUCCUCCACAGCCCGUAGCCUGGGGGAGGGGCUCUUAUGCCCAAGUUACGGAGCAGGAAGAUCAGGCCCAAGGUGACACCUAAGGUCACCCCCAAGACAUCGCCCGUCCCCACCCAUGAGGGAGCUGACAUCCACCAGCUGGAGUCCUUCCCAGGGUCUCAGCCCGAGGGGCAAAGCUGGAUCCAGGUGCCCCUGCCCUGUCCUGCAAGCCGCGGCCACUGGACAUUGAUGGCUCUCCCUAACAGAGACAGGAAGGUGGACGACAGGCAGGGCUUUGUCCAGCCGGGAGAAGCAGGUCCAGGCUGCGCCUCCCACUCCACCCUGAAGCCUGUCUCUAUCUCAGCCCCACUCACACAGGCUCGUCCCUAGUGUGCCCCACCUGCUGGGCCUGGGGACGGCUGCCGCCUCUGGCCUCUUCCCCAGUGGGGACCCUCCCUCGGGUCACUGCAGGGCGGCCUGGGAGUGGCAACCUUUGUGGUCGGCCUCAUGGUGCUGGAGCUGGGCCACCAGAUUUGGGCCUCAGCUCCUGCCAAGUGUCGGACAGUGAUGUCCCCCACCCCAGCUUCCUCUGCAAAGCAGGAGCAGAACAGACCCCGCCCGCCCCAAGGUGAAGAGGACUGUGGUCAUUCCGCAGCUCCCAUGCUGUGGGGGGCACUGGAACCGCAGCUAUGGUCUCCGAGCCCUCCGUCGGGGCCACCGUGCUCAGGGCACAUGACGUGGUCCUCCCACUCUGACCUGUCCAGGUCCACCACAGAAACAAGUUCAUGAUCAGAGUCUUUGCAGAGGGGCUGGUGCAGUUGUGAGGGUCUGGGGGCGGGUGCGAGGGUCUGUGUGUCCUCCCCCCAGUUCGUAUGUCGGACCCGGGGUGUUUGGGAGGUGGUGAGGUCAGGGGCUCAGAGCCUUCAGGAGUGGGAUGAAUGCCCUGCAAAGCCGCAGUCCUCCCCUUCUGCUGUCUGAGGACGCAGGCGGAAGACGCCCUCUGCCAAGCAGAAGCAGCUCUCACCAGACACAGACCUGCCGGCUCCUUGAGCUGGGCGUUCUAGUCUCCAGGAGGGGCGGCGCCCGCCUGUGACCCCAACAUCCAGGAGGCUGAGGCAGGAGGAACUCCCGUGGGAGUUCAAAUCCAGCCUACGUUACACAGCAAGACCUGCCUCAGAAAACAAAUAAGCAAAUGAAAAACAGAAUUGUGAGAAAUAAAUGUCAGUUGCUUGUAAGCCCCGAGUCUCUGCUUUGUUGCAGCAGCUGGGACUAAGU